rnacentral:misc_RNA from 1 species
AAAAAUCUGGGAAUAAUAUCCUCCGGAUUUUGAAUCAUCUGACCAAAUAAAAGUGUCCACAAAAUUUAACCCAUAAGUAUCCUUUAUUAAUCACUUCUUAAUAAUGUGCAUAGUACAAAAUUUUCCAUGCGGCAACUAAGUUGAUUGAAGGGAUUGCAAUUCUGUAGCACAGGCUUCAACAAUGAAAAAGCAAGAUAAAAUCGUAAUGGAUGAACACUUAUCUCCAUGUUACUUGAGUUUUUCAAAUAGCUUUGGGGCAACACAUUUGUCAAUGCAUUGCCAAUAAUCAAAAUACUGUCCA